UUAUUUGUUGGAUAACUCAGCUCUUAUCUUGGUUCUUCAAACUCUAGGUUUUACCUCCAAUUAGAACUUGAAAGGGAGAGAAAAUCAAUUAGGGUUUGUGGGAAAUUUUUGGGAGGAUUCUUUGCAGAGCUUAUGUCUGGUUAUUAUGCUCUAUUUUAAGUCUAAUAUAUGAAGAAAAUAGGCCCUUAAAAGGCCUCUUUGGACGACCCGAAAUGGCCCAUUUUUGGGCUAUCAUUUAAGCAAGUAGGUGACACACCUACUUGUCACCUAGCAGCUUGCGCAGUAUCGCACAAAUACCUAUAUCUUUCUACUCCAAUGUCGUAUUGACAAACAGUUUAAUGCGUUAAAAAAUAGACUCAUAGAUCUUUAAUUUGAUGGGUGGAACACCCUAUAACUCUAAGUAUAUUGGGAGAAAAUCGCAGUUACAUUUGACCCAAAGUUUCAGUAAAACUUAUGAAUGUAACUUGUGAUGACUUUCAUCGACUUUUGUUCCACAACUCGCUUGACUUCAAAACAUAACACACGGAUGUCAUACGACUAAUAUAAAUCAUAACAUAAUCUCCUUAUCAUGUUAAUAACCCUAGUCUCACCCUAAAGGUACAUGUUAUAACAUUUCCAACUUGUCGACUUUCGACGAAAUAUUGUUUUAUUUAAUUGCUUUAGCUUCUGAACUGUCCAACCCUCUUUGUACUUGUUGUUCAUGAUCUUCAAUAUUUGUAACCUCAGAGGUAACAUGAUUAACUUACUUUAUAUACUUUUAAAUAUUAUCUCAUUUUUGGUCCUACAUUAGUUUGCUUACGACGCAUUUUUACGUACGAAAAUAUAGGGCGUAACAACUUAGAUAUUGAUGAUGAUGGCACUUGGACCUUUAUGUCAGACAAAGAAAAAAAGUUUGAUUGAAGCGUUCAAUGAGGUAUUGCUAUAUGUUUGUCAUGAUUUUGUAUGAGACACCUCCAUAACAACUUUAAAAGGGUCGGAUUCAGUGCUAUCUCACUCAGGAAUAUCCUUUGGAAGGCUGCAACAGUAAAGUGGUUUGAUGAUUGCAUGGUUGACAUCUGUGAUCUAGAUUCAGAAGCUGUUGAUUGGUUCAAUAAAAAGCCACUUGCUGAAUGUCUAAAUCUCACUUCCCUAAAACUGUGAAAUGUGAUUCCUUACUCAAUAAUGUGUGAAUGUUUUAAUAGCAUGAUCAUUAAGGCUAGAGAUAAGCCGAUUAUUACUUUAUUGGAGAAGUUAAGGUAUCACCUUAUGAAAAGGAUGCAAACAAAUAGGGAUAAAGGUGCCAAGUGGAAUGAUGAUGAUAUUUGCCCUAGGAUUAAGGAUAUAUUGCACAAAAAUCAGGCUAGUGCAGUUGAAUUUAUUUCUGGGAAGUCAAAUGAGUGGAAUUACGAGAUAAUAAGAGCAAGCGUAAUGAAUAAUUGGGUUGUGAAUUUGUUAAAUAAAAAAUGCAGUUGUAGGAAAUGAUAUCUAACAUGAAUCCCUUGCAAGCAUGCCAUUGCCUCGAUUUGGGCUAAACAUGAUGACAUUCAUUUAUAUGUGGAUGAUAAUUAUAAUAUAGAAACUUAUAGAAGGAUCUAUGCAUUUUCAAUUCUACCUAUGAAUGGUCAAGAUAAGUGGGGUAUGUUGAGUAACAUACCUCAUUUGCCUCCACGAUUGGAAAAACAAAGUACCAAAGAAAGAAAACAAAAGCUUCGGCGAAAAGAGUCUGAUGAAGUUGGAGCAAGUAGACAAAAAAUAAAAAGGAAGCAAAAAAUAUUGGACUAUAGCUUAUGCCACAAUCCAAGCCAUAAUAAAAGAACUUGCAAGUUAAAUUAUGUGUAUCCAGAUUCUCAUGAUGAUGAGACAUUGCGACAAGAAUCCUCAUUUUCUACUACAUCUUUUGCUCCUAUAAAGCUUCCGAUAUGAGUUUAUUACACAUAUAACUCUAUUUAAGUAUAUUAUUAAUAUGGUGAAUGUAAUAUUUUCUUAAUUAUAGAUAAGAAGAGGACCUACUAACCAAGAUCAUAUGCACACAACUCAAGAAAGUAGAGUGACCGGAGAUACAUUUUUUAGUAUGCAAGUUUAUGCUGAAAAAGAUUGGUUGAUGCUAUGCAAGUUUAUGCUGAAAAAGAUUGGUUGAUGCUGCUGUAAAAUGAUGUUUUUUGCUACUAUAGAAGUACCGCUUUGCUGCUGAAGAUUAGUGUAUAAUAGUUGUGAUGCUGUUGAAGACUAUAUGGAUAGGUUGAUACGCUUAUCAAUUAUUUUUUGUCACUAAAAUUUUAGUAACUCUUUAUUUUGCUUUUGAUACUGUAAAAGGCUACUAUAACAUACUUCCCAGAAGUUUAACAUAUUUCUUUAUAAAGGAGAUCAGUUUAAUACUCUUUAUUUUGGUUUUACUUUUGCUUUUGAUGUGUCGAGUAAGUGGAAAUGAUAAAGCAUAUGAAGUUUAAAGGUCAAAUUAGUUUCACCUUGUCCUAAUAAAAUGAAUACAAGAGGAAAGAAAAUGUACAUCAGUGAAAAAAAUUGAUAUUACUCAAAAAAGCUUCAAGCAAACCAAAAUAAUGCCUCUUCAGUUAAAAAAGAAGAGAGGGCUACUACUAUUUGAUAAGGGUGGGCAUCGGUCGGUUCGAUCGGUUAUUAUAAAAUUACGGUUCUGUUUAUCGGUUUUCAGUUUUGUAAUAUUAAUAACCAAAUCAAACCAAAGUAUUUACGGCUCGGUGCGGUUUUUUCAAAGUUCGGUUCGGUUAUUUCCGGUUUAUAUUUUCGAUUUUAAACGGUUGUAGGAACAACUAAGUAUUUACAGUUUGUAGGAACAUCAAUAAAUAUUAAAGUGUAUACUAUGUACUGUCUAUAGGAACAUCUGACUAUCUAAUUGUCUACUGUCUAACACAAUUAAAGUGACCACUGAUCAGAAAUUUCAGUAAUAAAACAUUUAGUCAAAAGAAUGUUAAUACAAUGAAGAAUCCAACUAAAAUCACAGAGACCAUCAACUAGAAGUUAACAGUUCCAGCCUAUGCUUCUAAUACAUAUUAAAAAUGAUAUAUGUUUUUCACUUAUCAAUUAUAAUUAGAUGAUACAAUUUACCAAAAGCUCAAAAUAGAGCAACUUAAGAAGGAUUAAUCUAGGAUGUACGUUCAAAUAAGGCUCCAAGGUUCAAAUUUUAAGUCAUCCUUUAGAUACAAUACAACACCAUUCAACAUGCAUGUGAUUUUAUGAUAUGGGAAGCCAUAGUACUUCUUUAGAAUCUAGGAUAAUGUAGUUUCACAAGUUUAACUUUAGGUCCAACCUUUGAAAACAAGAAAAUUUAUCAAAUUUUAUAGAAUAACUCAAGGACACAAAAAUAGAGAAUAAAUCUGGAAAUCGAUUGCUACCGUCAUUAACAAAUUUAAAAGGACACAAAAAUGGAGAAGGAAAACUCAUAAGAAGAAGAAGGUAUCAAGGUAACCACUAACCUGAGGAAGAAGACGACGAGCUGAGGAAGAAGGAUGCGCGUCGGCAAAUAGAGUGACAGAGAAAGAUGACGAGCUUACAGUCGCAUAGAUGCAACGCAGAACACCAGCAAUCGAACCCUAAUUUCUAAGGAGUAAGCGUAAGGAAGGGAAGAAUGGAAGAUGGAAAAUGGAAAGGGAAAUUCUAGGUUAGGCUAAUUAG
rnacentral:lncRNA from 1 species